GUGCACCAGGCGAGAAACCUCCGCAAUACACGAAAGUGUGACGGGGCCAUCCCGAGUGCCGUCCGCUGAGGACGGCUUUUCCCCAGUGUACACAGCUGGGGGAAUAAGGAGAGGGCAAGCCUGGUGUCAGCCGCCGCGGUAAUACCAGCUCUCCGAGUGGUGGGGACGCUUAUUGGGCCUAAAGCAUCCGUAGCCGGCUGGGCAAGUCCUCCGUUAAAUCCAACGAUUCAAUCGUUGGGCUGCGGGGGAUACUGUCCAGCUUGGGGGCGGGAGAGGCCGACGGUAUUCCCGGGGUAGGGGUGAAAUCCUAUAAUCCCGGGAGGACCACCAGUGGCGAAGGCUGUCGGCUAGAACGCGCCCGACGGUGAGGGAUGAAAGCUGGGGGAGCGAACCGGAUUAGAUAUCCCUGUAGU
rnacentral:rRNA from 1 species